UCUUAUUUGACUCAGUUUUCUAACUUUAAUAGGAGUUAGAUGCAGCUGAUCGUACGAGCUACAUCGAUGAUGUUUUUGCUCUUGCAAGGGCGAAUGUUAUAGAUUAUGGUAAUGCCUUGAACCUGACAAAGUACCUGAAAAAUGAGACGGACUACAUCGUGUGGGAGCGUGCGUCCUCCUCCAUCGCAUAUGUCCGGGGCAUGCUGUCAGACAAACCGUUCUACCCAAAGUUCCAGCAACUGUUCCGAGACCACGUUAAAGCCAUCACAACACAACUGGGAUGGGAGGAUGUGGGAACACAGACUGAGAGGUUGCUGAGGGAGACUGUGCUCGGCAUCUCCUGUCAGAUGGGGGAUGAGGCGUCACUGAAUGAAGCCUCUCGCAUUUUUGACCAGUGGAUUAGUGGCAGUCU